rnacentral:rRNA from 1 species
GAUGAACGCUGGCGGCGUGCCUAAUACAUGCAAGUCGAACGCUUCACUUCGGUGAAGAGUGGCGAACGGGUGAGUAACACAUAAGUAACCUGGCAUCUACAGGGGGAUAACUGAUGGAAACGUCAGCUAAGACCGCAUAGGUGUAGAGAUCGCAUGAACUCUAUAUGAAAAGUGCUACGGGACUGGUAGAUGAUGGACUUAUGGCGCAUUAGCUGGUUGGUAGGGUAACGGCCUACCAAGGCGACGAUGCGUAGCCGACCUGAGAGGGUGACCGGCCACACUGGGACUGGGACACGGCCCAGACUCCUACGGGAGGCAGCAGUAGGGAAUUUUCGGCAAUGGGGGAAACCCUGACCGAGCAACGCCGCGUGAAGGAAGAAGUAAUUCGUUAUGUAAACUUCUGUCAUAGAGGAAGAACGGUGGAUAUAGGGAAUGAUAUCCAAGUGACGGUGCUCUAUAAGAAAGCCACGGCUAACUACGUGCCAGCCGCCGCCGUAA